GUGUCAGCCGCCGCGGUAAUACGUAGGGUGCAAGCGUUGUCCGGAAUUAUUGGGCGUAAAGAGCUCGUAGGCGGUUCGUCGCGUCGGCUGUGAAAACCCGGAGCUCAACUCCGGGCCUGCAGUCGAUACGGGCGGACUUGAGUGUUGCAGGGGAGACUGGAAUUCCUGGUGUAGCGGUGAAAUGCGCAGAUAUCAGGAGGAACACCGGUGGCGAAGGCGGGUCUCUGGGCAACUACUGACGCUGAGGAGCGAAAGCGUGGGGAGCGAACAGGAUUAGAUACCCCCGUAGUCC
rnacentral:rRNA from 1 species